GCUCAGUAACACGUGGCUAACCCACCCUUGAGACGGAGACAACCCCGGGAAACUGGGGCUAAUCCCCGAUAGGAGAAGACACCUGGAAGGGGUCUUUUCCCAAAAGGCGCUUAGAUCAUGCUUCUAGACGCCGCUCAAGGACGGAGCCGCGGCCGAUCAGGUUGUUGGUGAGGCAAUGGCUCACCAAGCCUAUAACCGGUACGGGCCGUGAGAGCGGGAGCCCGGAGAUGGGCACUGAGACAAGGGCCCAGGCCCUACGGGGCGCAGCAGGUGCGAAAACUCCGCAAUGCGCGCAAGCGCGACGGGGUCACCCCGAGUGCCGUCCUUUUAGGUGGCUUUUACCCAGUGUAAAGAGCUGGGUGAAUAAAGGGGGGGCAAGACGGGUGUCAGCCGCCGCGGUAAUACCCGCUCCCUGAGUGGUAGGGCUUUUAUUGGGCUUAAAGCGUCCGUAGCCGGCCUAGCAAGUCUUCCGUUAAAUCCACCGAUUCAAUCGUUGGACUGCGGGAGAUACUGUUGGGCUAGGGGGGGGGAGAGGCCGACGGUAUUCUCGGGGUAGGGGUAAAAUCCUAUAAUCUCGGGUAGACCACCAGUGGCGAAGGCGGUCGGCCAGAACGCGCUCGACGGUGAGGGACGAAAGCUGGGGGAGCGAACCGGAUUAGAUACCCGGGUAGUCCCAGCUGUAAACGAUGCUGACUUGGUGUGAGGGUAGCUACGGGCUACCCUCGUGCCGAAGGGAAACCAUUAAGUCUGCCGCCUGGGGAGUACGGCCGCAAGGCUGAAACUUAAAGGAAUUGGCGGGGGAGCA
rnacentral:rRNA from 1 species